UUUUUUUUAACCUCUCGCUCCCGGAAUCCGGCGUUAUGGCUUCUGUCUCUCCGGUGGUUUUCCUUUUGGGCCUUCUGAUCCUCUGUACUCCGCAUGGCGGAAGCGGCCUGCACACCAAGGGGGCCCUUCCCCUGGAUACAAUCACUUUUUACAAGAUUAUGGUGACAAGUUGAACAUGGAGCUGAGUGUGAAAUACAAGCUGGACAAAGAGAGCUAUCCAGUCUUCUACCUCUUCAGGGAUGGAGACUUUGAGAACCCAGUCCCAUACAGUGGGGCAGUGAAGGUUGGUGCCAUCCAGCGAUGGCUAAAGGGACAAGGGGUCUACCUAGGUAUGCCUGGUUGCCUGCCUGCUUAUGAUGCUCUGGCUGGGGAGUUCAUUAGGGCCUCUAAUGUGGAGGCCCGCCAGGCCCUCUUGAAGCAGGGGCGUGACAACCUCUCCAGUGUGAAGGAGACGGAGAAGAAGUGGGCUGAGCAAUACCUGAAAAUCAUGGGGAAGAUCUUAGACCAAGGGGAGGACUUCCCAGCAUCAGAAAUGACCCGGAUCGCUAAACUUAUAGAGAAGAACAAGAUGAGUGAUGGGAAGAAGGAGGAGCUCCAGAAGAGCUUAAACAUCCUGACUGCCUUCCAGAAGAAAGGGGCUGAGAAGGAGGAGCUAUAAAAAGGCCCAAUAGGGUUUUCCAGUGUUUAAUGGGGGAGGGGAGGGGCGACUUACCUGCUGGCUGAAGAUCCUUGUUGGAACAUAAUAGAGUGGAGGAAAAAAAUGGUACUGCACUGGAAUUCUGAGCCCUGAGUAUGCUUGGACAUUGAUGCUGAUGUAACCAUGCUUGGGACAUCUAGAUAACCAGUCUGAGGUGAGGUGGAAUGCUUAACACAGAUGGCAAGUGCCCCUAGGUGCUUACAGUCCUUGACAGGUGUAAUUCUAAUCCAAUUAAAGUUUCAGUGUUUUGCGUAA